UGGGGAAGUAGGUGGGGCGGGAAAUCUAAACCCGAGUUCGCAGCUUCCGUCACUCCCCGUGGGCGGCGCUCCCCUUUGACCCCGCGCUCGGGAGCUACACAUCCGGGCCACUGUUACUAGCGAGGGGAAGAUGGCGGCCGCGGCUGUGGUGGUUCCCGCAGAGUGGAUAAAGAACUGGGAGAAAUCAGGGAGAGGCGAAUUUUUACAUUUAUGCCGGAUUCUCAGUGAAAAUAAAAGCCAUGACAGUUCGACCUACAGAGAUUUUCAACAAGCUCUGUAUGAGUUGUCAUACCAUGUCAUUAAAGGGAAUUUAAAGCACGAACAGGCAUCUAGUGUUCUUAAUGACAUUAGCGAAUUCCGUGAGGAUAUGCCUUCUAUCCUUGCUGACGUGUUCUGCAUAUUAGAUAUUGAAACAAAUUGUUUAGAAGAAAAAAGCAAGAGAGACUAUUUUACACAGUUGGUAUUAGCAUGUUUGUAUUUAGUUUCAGACACAGUUUUGAAGGAACGAUUGGAUCCAGAAACUUUGGAAUCAUUAGGGCUUAUCAAACAGUCACAGCAGUUCAACCAAAAGUCAGUUAAAAUCAAGACAAAACUCUUUUAUAAGCAGCAAAAAUUCAAUUUAUUAAGAGAAGAAAAUGAAGGUUAUGCCAAGCUGAUUGCUGAACUGGGACAAGAUUUAUCUGGAAAUAUUACUAGUGAUUUAAUAUUAGAAAAUAUCAAAUCUUUAAUCGGAUGCUUUAAUCUGGAUCCUAAUAGAGUUUUGGAUGUCAUUUUAGAAGUGUUUGAAUGCAGGCCAGAACAUGAUGACUUCUUUAUAUCUUUAUUAGAAUCUUACAUGAGUAUGUGUGAGCCACAAACACUGUGUCAUAUUCUUGGAUUCAAAUUCAAGUUUUACCAGGAACCAAGUGGUGAGACGCCAUCGUCUUUAUACAGAGUUGCAGCAGUCCUCCUGCAAUUUAAUCUCAUUGAUCUAGAUGAUCUUUAUGUGCAUCUCCUUCCUGCUGAUAAUUGUAUUAUGGAUGAAUACAAACGAGAAAUUGUGGAAGCUAAGCAAAUUGUAAGAAAACUCACAAUGGUUGUGCUGUCUUCUGAAAAACUUGAUGAACGAGACAAAGAAAAGGACAAAGAUGAUGAGAAAGUUGAGAAGCCACCGGACAACCAAAAGCUGGGUUUGUUGGAAGCUUUGUUAAAAGUUGGUGAUUGGCAGCAUGCACAGAACAUCAUGGAUCAGAUGCCUCCAUACUAUGCAGCUUCACAUAAACUAAUAGCUCUUGCUAUUUGCAAGCUCAUUCACAUAACCGUUGAGCCUCUCUACCGAAGAGUUGGUGUUCCUAAAGGUGCUAAGGGCUCACCGGUUAGCGCUUUGCAAAACAAGAGAGCACCGAAGCAAGUAGAGAGCUUUGAAGAUUUGAGGAGGGAUGUAUUCAAUAUGUUCUGUUACCUUGGUCCUCACCUCUCACAUGAUCCCAUUUUAUUUGCAAAAGUCGUGCGCAUAGGCAAGUCAUUUAUGAAGGAGUUUCAGUCUGAUGGAAGCAAACAGGAAGAUAAAGAGAAAACGGAAGUUAUCCUUAGCUGUUUGCUUAGCAUUACUGACCAGGUAUUACUUCCAUCUCUUUCUUUGAUGGACUGCAAUGCUUGCAUGUCUGAGGAGCUGUGGGGAAUGUUUAAGACAUUUCCCUAUCAGCAUAGAUAUCGACUAUAUGGUCAGUGGAAGAAUGAAACUUAUAAUGGUCACCCACUUUUAGUAAAAGUUAAAGCUCAAACAAUAGACAGAGCCAAGUAUAUCAUGAAGCGUCUAACCAAGGAAAAUGUGAAGCCUUCAGGAAGACAAAUUGGCAAGCUGAGCCACAGCAAUCCAACAAUUUUGUUUGAUUAUAUCUUGUCACAAAUCCAGAAAUACGAUAACUUAAUAACACCUGUAGUAGAUUCAUUGAAAUACCUCACUUCGUUGAAUUAUGAUGUCUUGGCCUAUUGUAUCAUUGAAGCUUUAGCUAAUCCAGAAAAGGAAAGAAUGAAACAUGAUGACACAACCAUCUCAAGCUGGCUUCAGAGUCUGGCUAGUUUCUGUGGUGCAGUAUUCCGUAAAUACCCGAUUGAUCUUGCUGGUCUUCUUCAGUAUGUAGCCAAUCAAUUAAAGGCAGGCAAAAGUUUUGACCUACUAAUAUUGAAAGAAGUGGUACAAAAAAUGGCAGGAAUUGAAAUUACAGAGGAGAUGACGAUGGAGCAGUUAGAAGCCAUGACUGGUGGGGAGCAGCUAAAGGCUGAGGGUGGUUAUUUCGGCCAGAUCAGAAACACUAAAAAAUCUUCUCAGAGAUUAAAGGAUGCACUACUGGACCAUGAUCUUGCUCUUCCUCUCUGUUUGCUUAUGGCACAACAGAGAAAUGGGGUAAUUUUUCAGGAGGGUGGAGAGAAACACUUGAAACUUGUGGGGAAACUCUAUGACCAGUGUCAUGACACCCUAGUACAGUUUGGUGGAUUUUUAGCAUCAAAUCUAAGUACAGAAGAUUAUAUAAAACGAGUGCCUUCAAUUGAUGUGCUCUGUAAUGAGUUUCAUACACCACACGAUGCAGCAUUUUUUCUGUCUAGGCCAAUGUAUGCACACCAUAUUUCGUCAAAAUACGAUGAACUUAAAAAAUCAGAAAAGGGAAGUAAACAGCAACAUAAAGUCCAUAAAUACAUUACAUCAUGUGAGAUGGUGAUGGCUCCUGUCCAUGAAGCAGUGGUCUCCUUACAUGUUUCCAAAGUCUGGGAUGACAUCAGUCCUCAGUUCUAUGCUACAUUUUGGUCAUUGACAAUGUAUGACCUUGCAGUUCCACAUACCAGCUAUGAAAGAGAAGUCAAUAAACUUAAAGUCCAGAUGAAAGCGAUUGAUGACAAUCAGGAAAUGCCUCCAAAUAAAAAGAAAAAAGAAAAGGAGCGUUGCACUGCCCUUCAGGACAAGCUCCUUGAAGAAGAAAAGAAGCAGAUGGAACAUGUUCAAAGAGUACUUCAGAGACUGAAACUAGAAAAGGACAACUGGCUUUUAGCAAAGUCUACCAAAAAUGAGACCAUCACAAAAUUUUUACAGCUGUGUAUAUUUCCUCGAUGCAUUUUUUCAGCAAUUGAUGCUGUUUAUUGUGCUCGUUUUGUUGAAUUGGUACAUCAACAGAAAACUCCAAAUUUUUCCACACUUCUUUGCUAUGAUCGAGUUUUUUCUGACAUAAUUUACACGGUUGCAAGCUGCACUGAAAAUGAAGCUAGUCGGUAUGGGAGAUUUCUUUGCUGUAUGUUAGAGACGGUGACCAGGUGGCAUAGUGAUAGAGCCACAUAUGAAAAGGAAUGUGGAAACUAUCCAGGAUUCCUUACCAUAUUACGGGCAACUGGAUUUGAUGGUGGAAAUAAAGCUGAUCAGUUAGAUUAUGAAAAUUUUCGACACGUUGUCCACAAAUGGCAUUACAAACUAACCAAGGCAUCAGUACAUUGCCUUGAGACGGGCGAAUAUACUCACAUCAGGAAUAUAUUGAUUGUACUAACAAAAAUACUUCCUUGGUACCCAAAAGUUUUGAAUCUGGGUCAGGCUUUGGAGAGAAGAGUGAAUAAAAUAUGCCAAGAAGAAAAAGAGAAGAGGCCAGAUCUUUAUGCAUUGGCUAUGGGCUACUCGGGGCAGUUGAAAAGUAGAAAGUCACACAUGAUACCUGAAAAUGAAUUUCAUCAUAAGGAUCCUCCUCCAAGGAAUGCUGUUGCCAGUGUACAAAAUGGGCCUGGUGGUGGGACUUCUUCAUCAUCUAUAGGAAAUGCAUCUAAAUCAGAUGAAAGCGGUGCUGAGGAGACUGAUAAAUCAAGGGAGAGAUCUCAGUGUGGUACAAAAGCUGUUAAUAAGGCUUCUAGUACCACACCAAAGGGGAAUUCAAGCAAUGGAAAUAGUGGCUCUAACAGCAACAAAGCUGUUAAGGAAAAUGACAAAGAAAAAGUAAAAGAGAAAGAAAAAGAGAAAAAGGAGAAGACUCCAGCUACAACUCCAGAGGCCAGGGCACUUGGUAAAGAUAGUAAAGAAAAACCGAAGGAAGAGCGGCCAAAUAAAGAAGACAAAGCAAGAGAGACAAAGGAAAGAACACCUAAAUCUGACAAAGAGAAAGAGAAGUUCAAGAAGGAAGAAAAAGCUAAAGAUGAGAAAUUCAAGACUACCGUCCCCAUCGUAGAAUCAAAAUCGACUCAAGAAAGGGAAAGAGAGAAGGAGCCAUCCAGAGAAAGAGAUGUAGCAAAGGAAAUGAAGUCAAAGGAAAAUGUUAAAGGAGGAGAAAAAACACCAGUUUCAGGGUCCUUGAAGUCACCUGUUCCCCGAUCAGAUAUCUCGGAGCCUGACAGGGAACAAAAACGCCGCAAAAUUGAUAGUCAUCCUUCUCCAUCACAUUCCUCCACAGUAAAGGUUAGUAUAGCCUGAGGAAGGCAGCGUCCGUAUUAGGCUCACCUGUUUGGAAUACCAAUGUCCUGACUUCCUUCAAGUCUUGUGCCAAGUUUUCACUGGAGCCACUGGAGGUUUUAUAUUGCAUUAGAAAAUGAAAUUUUUCUGUAUUGGUGGACUGAUUUUUCCUAUUGAAUAUUUUUCUUAUAAAAAUGUUAAAACUUCAAGGACCUAGCACUAAUUUUAUUGUGUUUCAAAGUGCAAGAGAAAUUUUACCCAGAAGUGCCUCACUGCUUUAAGCAGUCCUUUUUGGAGUGCAAUGGUAGCUACAAGCAAAUGAAUCUUUUCAGCAGAAUGAAGCUAUUUUUCGGCAUAAAUGUUGAAGAUUAUAUAGCACUGAAGACUUCCUGAAUGAUACAGGAUAAACAAGAUACCUCUGAAUUUAUCAAGCUUCUUGAUGAGCAUCAUACCGAUGUGCCUUCUAAGAAGGAAUCUUGAAAGGAGUUCCAUUUUAAAGUCUCCUUGGUGAUCAGUUCUCCUGUAGUUGUGUUUAUUCAGUGAGCAUGCAGCUUCUGUUGUAUCUUCCCUUGGAGGUUUGUUUAUACCCAUUGGGUUCCCAACAAGUUGAACCUUGCGUUACGAUAAGAGCAGAUGUGGCAUCCAGUCCUACCACCCAGCAAAGAGAAACCCCAGGCAUUCAACUGCAGCACAAUAUCGUGGGUGUAGCCUUCUUGAAGACUCAGGGUAGCCAUUCCUUGCUCCAUAUUUAAUUUUAAUUCUAAAGUCAUCUAAUUUCAUGGAAUCUUUGAAUUUGCAGACAGUCUCAUCGAUCUCAAGGACUCUUCAGCAAAGCUCUACAUUAACCAUAACCCUCCACCACUGUCCAAGAGUAAGGAGAGAGAAAUGGACAAGAAAGAUUUGGACAAGUCAAGGGAAAGAUCCAGAGAAAGAGAGAAAAAAGAUGAAAAGGACAGGAAAGAACGGAAAAGGGAUCAUUCAAACAAUGACCGCGAAGUGCCACCGGACAUAACAAAGAGGCGGAAAGAGGAGAAUGGAACAAUGGGGGUUUCAAAACACAAAAGUGAGAGUCCAUGUGAGUCUCAAUAUCCAAAUGAGAAAGACAAAGAGAAAAAUAAGUCAAAAUCUUCAGGCAAAGAAAAAAGCAGUAGUGAUUCGUUUAAGUCUGAGAAGAUGGAUAAAAUCUCAUCUGGUGGCAAAAAGGAAUCCAGGCAUGAUAAAGAAAAGAUAGAAAAGAAAGAAAAACGGGAUAGUUCAGGAGGAAAGGAAGAGAAGAAACAUCAUAAGUCCUCUGACAAGCACAGAUAAUGAUCAAUUUCAACCAAGGGUGUGGACAGACCCCUAAGCUGAACGUUUCCCGAGGAGGAUGCCAAAGCUCCAUGAGUCACUCUCAGAAUGACAUCUCCCAUAUUUAAGAGCUUCUGGUGCUGUCCAUUUUAUGGGAAUCUGCUUUAAGUCAGAAGAUGCAUACAUACCACCAUCCUUUUGACAAGACAUUCCAAAGUCACUGAUUUUCAGAACAUUAUUUUCACCUGCAGGCAGUUUCUUGGAACAAGGUCCCCGUGCAUACAAUUUUAUGUGGGACACACCAUCCAGAAGCAGCAUCUAAAGGAAAAUUCACUAACUGACUUUUAGUUCAUCUUUCUUUCUCAGAAAGGAGAGGAAAUUGCCUCCUGGAAGCAAUUCCUUAAUGAUGUAGAUAGGUUGCCUUUGUGUGUGAAUUCUGUAAGUGUGAAAACAUUGGGGUGAUUAUGUUGCUUGGAGGGUUUUGGCUUCUUAUAAAAUUUUAAUUCCAAUUCAUGGGAAAGAUCUUUGUGUUUUAACAGCAAAAACAUUUUUAUUAUUUAAUAUGUACCCUUAAAUAUGUCAUCAAAAGUUUUCUUGUCCUUAAGGAAUUCUCAUAGUAUGACAUGAUCAUAAUUGAGACCCCAUUUCUUAUUCUGGUUAUUGUCAUAUAGAUACCAUGAUGUUCUUUUUCUUUCCCAUUUCUUAUUUUCAUCAGCAUGGUCAUGUGAAUACCAUGAAGUUCUUUAUUGAAACAUCAUUCAUUUUCAGUCUAAAAUCCUGAGAUAUAGUCAACAUUUUAAAGUGGAUAAUUCAGUGGUCUUUAGUACAUUGACUGUGUGGUGCAGUCUAAUCUCAGAACGUGCAGGUUAGCAGUCAUUCUUAUUUCUCUUCUUUCUUCAGCCACUGGAAGCUACUGACACAUUUUCUGCCUAUGAAUUUGCCUGUUUUGGGACAUUUCAUAUAAAUGGAAUUGUGCAAUAUCAUGUCCUGGGGGCCAGGGUUCUUUCAACUACCAUCUUGUUAUCAAGAGUCAUCCAUGGUAUAGCAUGUGUCAAUAAUCCAUUCCUUCUUAAAGGUUAAAUAUUCCAUAGAAUGAAUGUGUACCAUAUUUUGUUUACCCAUUUAUUCAUUGAGGGACAGAAACAAUUACACUUUUUAAGUAAUAAAAUUAGAAGGUCAACAUCAGUGUAUCCAAAAUUAUAAUUGAUGAUGUCAAGAUUAUACAUGGUAUGCACAGAAUGCUGUGUAGAAAUGAUGUGUAAAUUAUUUGUCAGCAUUUCAUGCAAGUGUAAUUACUUUCUAAGGCCCUUCUAGCUAUGAUUUUUUUGGAACUGUGUGAAUGUAGUAUAUUCAUUAGUAAAGUUUAAUGCAUUAAGCAUUAAUUUAAAAUUUGAGAACAAUGUUAGGCAGAUAAAUUAUUUGCCACAUGCUGUAAUGGUCAUGUUUUGAAUUUAUUUCGUUAUGCAGUAUUUGAAAAAUGUCUACAUAAAGGAAAGGAAAUGAGUAUAAUUGAGUCAAUAUAUUUUUAAAGCAAUUUUUAUAAUUUAGCAGACAUUGCAUCUUAAUAUAAUUCACUAUUAAAAUGUGUCCUUGUGGAAAUAUCGAUGUCAUUUUCUUUCUAUUUCUUUUGAUUGAUCUUGUAAAAUAGGUUCCUUUCCUUUGUUAAAUGUUCUGUUUAUUUUUGAUACAUUAUUCUUUGCACCUGUAGAAUGUACCUGUUACUCUUUAACCUUUUUCUCUACCCCAGAAUCCUUCCAUCCUCUCACACAUAGAAAAUGUUUCAAUGUUUCUUAAAAUUCAUAGUGUCUGAAUGGUUUCUAAGAAUAGACAGAGACACAGAAAUAUUUCCUCAUUUUCUGGGAACAUCCUCCAGGUCUUUGUUAUUGAUAGAAUUCACUGAAGUUUCUUCCCCCUUUCUUUCCCCUCCAUCACUCCCUGGCCUUUUCUCUCUGGCCUGUUCUUGCCUUGCUUUGGCCUUCCUCCUCAUUUUCCCUCAGCCACUCCUUCUUUUGUCUAUCUGUAUAACCAGUUUGUUUCUUUUAGGUGGAAAAAAUGAAAUGAAAUCAUACAGCUGUGACCUGAAUUGUAUUUUCCUGAGUAGAUUUCUGAGAAUUGUGAAUGAAGCGGGCCCAUUUUCAGUUACCUGCUUUAUUGCUCCAUGCAGAAAACCUAAAACUGUUGUGUUGUAUGUUAUUGUACUUUAACUUGUUGCUUAAUUUCUACAUGUUUAUUUUCAGUAAUGGCUGAAAGUGUUAAUUAUUCCAUAUUUUAGCACAAUGUGCUGCAUAUACUUCCCAAUAAGCAAAUAAGGUUACAUUUGUACAGAAUUUCACUUUUGAUUAAAUACUGCCUGGGUUUCAAGUCCCUUCCCCCAUUUGAAAUGCUUCCUUUUUAAUGUUGAAACUGAAAAUAAACAGUUACUGAAUGAUUUUGAAUUUACCUCAUCUUAGAACUCAGUUUUAAUUUAUUUGGCCUGUUUUUAAUAUUAGUCACUAAAAAUAAAGUGGAGCACUGUCUUAUGCAACGCCUAAGAAUCGUUUUAUAUAGUAUGUGUACAACAUUAAAAUAUGUUCUACAAAGAAAAAUAUACCAGCGCUCACUUGUCCCUUGCCAUUUUUUUCUUGUAAUUAGGAAAUCUUGGGGGGGGGGGGUAGAAGGGAAUAAAAAAUUAAUUGUGUUUUAAUUUUACAGCUACCAGAGCUUUGUAUUGCUAAACUUACAUCUGGAAAAGUUUCACGUGACAUUUUUAAGAGAAUUUUUUAUCUACUGAAUUCUACCAGUGUAACCAUUUUUUCUAAAUAAACAAUAGUUUUCUCAAAUGACUA